rnacentral:rRNA from 1 species
AUGUUUUGCUGCUUCAAUAUGCUGAUUUUUUCUACGGCCAUUGUUGUAUAUGCUCAUGUUUUUUUUAAAAAGCUGUUGUGUUUGCUGACUGCUCGCGGGAGGGGUUCCUCGCAGGAUCAAAAAACCCGGCUGGUUUAG